rnacentral:rRNA from 1 species
UACGUAGGGCGCAAGCGUUGUCCGGAAUUAUUGGGCGUAAAGAGCUCGUAGGCGGUUUGUCGCGUCUGCUGUGAAAACUCGAGGCUCAACCUCGGGCUUGCAGUGGGUACGGGCAGACUAGAGUGCGGUAGGGGGUGACUGGAAUUCCUGGUGUAGCGGUGGAAUGCGCAGAUAUCAGGAGGAACACCGAUGGCGAAGGCAGGUCACUGGGCCGCAACUGACGCUGGAGGAG